rnacentral:rRNA from 1 species
AGAACGAACGCUGGCGGCAUGCCUAAUACAUGCAAGUCGAACGAACACUUCGGUGUUAGUGGCGCACGGGUGCGUAACGCGUGGGAAUCUGCCCUUGGGUUCGGAAUAACAGUUGGAAACGACUGCUAAUACCGGAUGAUAUCGAAAGAUCAAAGAUUUAUCGCCCAGGGAUGAGCCCGCGUAGGAUUAGCUAGUUGGUGAGGUAAAGGCUCACCAAGGCGACGAUCCUUAGCUGGUCUGAGAGGAUGAUCAGCCACACUGGGACUGAGACACGGCCCAGACUCCUACGGGAGGCAGCAGUAGGGAAUAUUGGACAAUGGGCGCAAGCCUGAUCCAGCAAUGCCGCGUGAGUGAUGAAGGCCUUAGGGUGUAAAGCUCUUUACCGAGAUGA